rnacentral:tRNA from 1 species
GCGCCUGUAGCUCAGCCCGGAUAGAGCAAGGGGUUCCUAACCCCUGUGCCGGAGGUUCAAAUCCUCUCAGGCGCA